rnacentral:rRNA from 1 species
AACGAACGCUGGCGGCAUGCCUAACACAUGCAAGUCGAACGAGACCUUCGGGUCUAGUGGCGCACGGGUGCGUAACGCGUGGGAACCUGCCCUUAGGUUCGGAAUAACUCCCCGAAAGGGGUGCUAAUACCGGUUAAUGUCUUCGGACCAAAGAUUUAUCGCCUUUGGAUGGGCCCGCGUUGGAUUAGCUAGUUGGUAGGGUAAAAGCCUACCAAGGCGACGAUCCAUAGCUGGUCUGAGAGGAUGAUCAGCCACACUGGGACUGAGGCACGGCCCAGACUCCUACGGGAGGCAGCAGUGGGGAAUAUUGGACAAUGGGCGAAAGCCUGAUCCAGCAAUGCCGCGUGAGUGAUGAAGGCCUUAGGGUUGUAAAGCUCUUUUACCCGGGAUGAUAAUGACAGUACCGGGAGAAUAAGCUCCGGCUAACUCCGUG